GAUGAACGCUGGCGGCGUGCCUAAUACAUGCAAGUCGAGCGAACGGACGAGAAGCUUGCUUCUCUGAUGUUAGCGGCGGACGGGUGAGUAAAACGUGGAUAACCUACCUAUAAGACUGGGAUAACUUCGUGAAACCGGAGCUAAUACCGGAUAAUAUUUUGAACCGCAUGGUUCAAAAGUGAAAGACGUUCUUGCUGUCACUUAUAGAUGGAUCCGCGCUGCAUUAGCUAGUUGGUAAGGUAACGGCUUACCAAGGCAACGAUGCAUAGCCGACCUGAGAGGGUGAUCGGCCCAACUGGAUCUGAGUCACGGUCCAGACUCCUACGGGAGCCAGCAGUAGGGAAUUUUCCGCAAUGGGCGAAAGCCUGACGGAGCAACGCCGCGUGAGUGAUGAAGGUCUUCGGAUCGUAAAACUCUGUUAUUAGGGAAGAACAUAUGUGUAAGUAACUGUGCACAUCUUGACGGUACCUAAUCAGAAAGCCACGGCUAACUACGUG
rnacentral:rRNA from 1 species